UCGCUACAAGCUAACCACACAAUCCCGACCACAAAGCAUGAAAGCACUAUAACGCGCUUAGAAAGAACUAAGUCAUCCCACUAUUACGUGCAGGAUAUGACGGAGAACACUCCCUUUAGUUACUAUAUAAAUGCACGACAAAAUAUAGAAUAGGACAAGAUAUAGAAUAGGACAAAAUAUAGAAUAGGACAAAAUAUAAGCGCUAAAAUGGAAGAAAGGUUACGUGAAGAGAAAUUCAAAGCUAUGAAACUGCCAGAAUUAAAAAGUUACCUGCAGAGUAGAGGUAUAACCGUAAGUAGUUAUCUGAAGCCGUAUUCCAUUAUUUUAGCCUAUACUGGUUUUUGGCCAUCAUUUCACCAUGGUAGGAAAAGCAACAUUUGCUAUAUUACAUGUGUUCCUUUAAAGCAUGUAAUGUUACAAUAGUAACCAAUUUCAUAUUUAGGCAUAUCCUUGUUCUGGACUCUUUAACUUGGGAUAAAGAAGACAAGAAAUCUACAUUUGAAUAUAUUUCACAAUAUUUGGACUACACCUUUCAAAAGCACAGCAUCAAAAGAAAGCAUCGUUCUCAUCUUAUGUUAAAAGUCCCACAGCAGGAAAUCUCUUCAAACCUCUGUGCUGUUUUUGUAUCACUUUUUAUUAAAUACUUUUUGAAGGUAAUUAUGGAAACUACAUGUUUCUUCAAGUUAGAGCCUAAUAAUAGGAAAGAUGUACUCAAUGCAAUAACAUAGGGAAGAGUGCUUACUUUUUCAAUCUCACAACAUUUUUUAGGAUAUUGAAAAAAUAUGAGAAAUGUCCCAAUGAUUUCAUUCUCAUGGAACAUAAAUGGUUCAGUAACAAGGAUGCAACAAUGGAAAGAAAUAAAUGGCACAGAACUUUGCACACAUUGUUUACUCUGCAUUGAUCUAAGUUUAUUAACACAAAGGAAUAUUUUAUUGUAUAUUUUUAAAGCUUCUAUAUACAAUGUUUUAAGGUGAUGCAAUAAUCUGUGGUUGCAAAUUAACCAAUGCUGCACAGAUAGACACAACAGAAUCAAUAUAUGGUUUCAUUGUUAA